UUUAUAUCAAAUGUUAAGCACUGAAGUUUGUAUUUGCUAUGGAGACAGAGCACAACAUCGUCAUACUCUGAAAGCCACGCCCACCGGAGGGGAAAACAAUCA